rnacentral:rRNA from 1 species
UACAGAGGUCCCAAGCGUUGUUCGGAUUCACUGGGCGUAAAGGGUGCGUAGGUGGUGAGGUAAGUCGGAUGUGAAAUCUCCGGGCUCAACCCGGAAAUGGCAUUGGAAACUACCUUGCUGGAGGAUUUGAGGGGGGAUUGGAAUACUUGGUGUAGAGGUGAAAUUCGUAGAUAUCGAGAGGAACAUCGGUGGCGAAGGCGGCCUUCUGGACGGUGACUGACGCUGAGACGCGAAAGCGUGGGGAGCAAACAGG